UGAUAAUCUCCCAAGUGGAAUCAAUCUUAAGUGAAUAUCAGUGCAAAGAUAAAUGUACGAUUUAACAACAAUUUAAUUUUUUUCAAAACUGGAUAAAUCGUUUAUAAAUAACUCGUAAUCAUAUUUCUUCCGGAGUAUCGUGGGCGCUAAAUGUAAGUGGAACGUAUGAAUUUGCAAAACUGUAUCGAGAUUUAUGUGCUUAGUGUAGGUAAUUAGUAAAAAUUGUUGCGUUGUUUACUAUACGGAAAAAUGAAAUCUAAUAAUCAGCACAUUAAAACAGUGCAACACCGACUGGAAAAGGCCGCAAAUGAAACACGGAUAGAGUGUAUUUCGAAAUACAGCCAUGAAUUGAGACUGGAUACACAAAAUAAUCCUUAUAUCGAUCCACUAACGAAAAAAAUUAUGUGCCCUCCAUAUUUUGACACAAUCAUCUGUUGGCCUCCUCAGCUCCCAAAUACAACAGCGUCCACAUCGUGUCCAUCAUAUGUCUUUGGAUUCAGUAAAAUACAGAAUGCUACACGAUUUUGCCUUGAAACUGGCCAGUGGUUGGUUAAUGCAAAAGGAAUGCCUUUUACGAAUUUUUCUACGUGUGGCAACAAAACUGCUACAGUUUUCGUUAAAGAAGACUUAGUUUCACAAAUGCCAACUUACGACAUUUCAGAAGAAACCGUGGAUUUAAUUAUGGGAAUAAGCGAAACUGGAUACGCCAUAUCACUGAUCACUCUUCUAAUCGCUUUCACGAUUAUGUUUAAAAUAAAGAAACUUCACUGUGCAAGGAACAUUCUACAUAUGAAUCUCUUCGCUUCAUUCAUUUUGAGAUCAUUUAUGCAUAUUAUGAAAAACUCGCUAUUCAUGGAUGGACUGGGCCUGUCCAAGGAUAUAGUUGAACGAAAUGGAUCGAACGUUUUUCACGUUCAAGCUGAUGGAAACAACUUUGAAUGCAAACUGAUUGUUAGUCUAGUACAGUACUUUACAACAGCAAACUACUCAUGGAUACUAAUGGAAGGGCUAUACUUAAACAACUUGAUUUUGCGUGCUCUAUUUACAGAUUCCAAUAAGAAUUUGAUUUACUAUAUUACUUUCGGAUGGGGACUGCCCCUGUUGGUUGUUGUACCAUGGGUAAUAGCUCGCAUCCUAUUUGACGACACUCUUUGUUGGACCACUAACGACAAUUUUGAAGUGUUUCUUAUUAUUAUUAUUCCAACAUUUACAUCUGUCUUGGUGAAUCUGGUUCUGUUCGUAAUCAUUUCCGUCGUGCUUUACAACAAACUAAAAUCUCCAAUCAAUGAGGAUUCCAGAAGGUACCUUAAAUGGGCCAAAUCCACCUUGGUUCUGGUGCCUCUGUUCGGCGUCAAUUAUGCCAUUUUCCUGAUUUUCUACUUCUUGAAUGAGCAAACCAUUUGGAUGGUUGGUGAUGCCCUUUUCGGCAGUUUUCAAGGUUUCUUUGUGGCAAUACUCUACUGCUUUUUGAAUGGUGAAGUGAAAGCCGAGAUCAAGCCCUACAUGAGCACCGUUUUGGUAUUCCUGGCAACAAACUGCGUUACGAAACAUUGUUUUCCCAGCCGCGAAAAAUAUCUAAGCCGUCGGACGACAAUCAGUUUGCACGACGAUGUCUUGUAGCUCUUUGUACAACAACGGCGUGUGUCAUCGCAACAGCAAAACCAAAUUUGAUCAACUCUCCAAAAUCAAACUCUCCAAUCUCCAUGAAGAUAACUCGAAGGAAUUGUUCAUACCAAAUGGUGUGCGCCAUUCAGUUCCCAAAACUGGAUCAGUUGGCCAUUAUG
rnacentral:misc_RNA from 1 species